GCGGGGUAAUGGCCCACCAAGGCGACGAUCCGUAGCUGGUCUGAGAGGAUGAUCAGCCACACUGGAACUGAGACACGGUCCAGACUCCUACGGGAGGCAGCAGUAGGGAAUAUUGGACAAUGGGCGCAAGCCUGAUCCAGCCAUGCCGCGUGAGUGAAGAAGGCCUUCGGGUUGUAAAGCUCUUUUGUCCGGAAAGAAAAGCGCCGGGUUAAUACCCUGGUGUCCUGACGGUACCGGAAGAAUAA
rnacentral:rRNA from 1 species